UACAGAGGGUGCAAGCGUUAAUCGGAAUUACUGGGGCGUAAAGCGUGCGCAGACGGUUGCGUAAGUCAGAUGUGAAAGCCCCGGGCUCAACCUCGGAACUGCGUCUGAAACUACUCGGCUAGAGUACUGGAGAGGGUAACGGAAUUCACGGUGUAGCAGUGAAAUGCGUAGAUAUCGUGAGGAACACCAGAGGCGAAGGCGGUUACCUGGACAGUUACUGACGCUCAGGCACGAAAGCAUGGGGAGCAAAAGGG
rnacentral:rRNA from 1 species